rnacentral:lncRNA from 1 species
UAAAGUUUAAUGGAGCAAAUUAGGAAAGGCCAGAGGUUGAUACUCUUCCCCUUACCCUUUCAAGGCCAUAUAAACCCUAUGCUUGAGCUAGCUAAUGUUCUACACUUCAGGGGCUUCUCCAUAACCAUCAUUCACACCAACUUCAACUCUCUCAACCCUUCAACCCAUCCUCACUUCACCUUCCACUCGAUCCCUGAUGGCCUAUCCGAAACUGAGACCUCCACAAAAGAUCCCGUCCUACUUAUUUCUUGUCUAAAUGCACACUGUUGUGAUCCUUUCCGGAACUGCCUGGCUAACUUGUUAUCUGAUGAUGGUUCAGAGGAGCCUAUUGCUUGUUUAAUCACUGACGCUCUCUUUUAUUUCACUAAAUCUGUUGCUAAGAGCCUCAAGCUUCCAAGGAUGCUGCUAAGAACAGGAAGUGCCACAUCGACUAUUGUUUAUGCCGUAUUUCCACUUCUAUGGGAAAAGGGUUACCUCCCAAAACAAGGUUAGUUUCUCUGAAAACACCUAGUUGCCUACUAAUGCCUCAGGUUUAUAUUCCUAAAUCCUCUACUAAUUAGGUCAUGUAUUUUCCAACUAUGCUCAAACUUAGACUGCUAUCUUUUUACUGUUUUGUUAGAAUCUCAACUAGAAGAGCCAGUGGUAGACCUGUCACCACUCAAAGUGAAAGACCUUCCAAUGAUGAACUCUUGUGACCCACAGGGAUAUUAUCAACUACUGAUUCAAAUGGUAAAGGAAAUCAAAACCGCAGAUGGAAUUAUUUUCAAUACUUUUGAAGAUCUUGAAGAACAAGCACUGGCUACAUUUCGACAAGAAUUUCCCAUCCCAGUUUUUCCAAUAGGUCCAUUUCACAAAUGGUUCUCAACCUCCUAUUCAAGUAGCUUAUUAUCAGAGGAUGAAAGUUGCAUUUCGUGGCUAAAUACUCAAGCACCAAAGUCUGUUGUCUAUGUUAGCUUUGGGAGCACUGCUGCAGUAAAUGAAGCUCAAUUUUUGGAAAUAGCUUGGGGAUUAGCCAACACCAAUCAGGCGUUCUUGUGGGUGGUUCGACCUGGAUUAAUCCAAGGCUCUGAAUGGCUAGAAAAAUUACCUCAAGGGUACCUGGAGGCUUUAGAUGGGAAGGGUCACAUUGUGAAAUGGGCACCACAGAAAAAGGUGCUGGCUCAUCCAGCUGUGGGACUAUUCUGGACUCACAAUGGGUGGAAUUCAACAUUGGAGAGUAUUUCUGAGGGGGUGCCUAUGGUUUGUAUGCCACAUUUCGCCGAUCAAAUGGUAAAUGCAAGAUAUGUAAGUGAUGUUUGGAGAGUAGGGUUGCAGUUAGAGAAUGGGAUCAAGAGAGACGAAAUUGAAAAAACAAUUCAAAAACUGAUGGCAGAGAAAGAAGGGGAAGAGAUCAAAGACGAAAUGUCAAUGCUUAAGGAGAAGACAAAUCUUUCACUCAGAGAAGGUGGCUCUUCAUACCAAUCCUUGGAUGGCUUGGUUAACCAUAUUCUAUCAUUAUAGUCACUGGACGUUGAUCAAAAUGUAUCAUAUUUUCAUCACUAUCAAGUCCCUGAUUGAUCAAAAUGUGUCUGUACUCUGUAGCAUAUCAUCUAUAGGCCAAACAGAAAAAACAGUACAUCAGACUGAGUUUAGAUCACGCAAGUAUUUAUCUGUAGUUCUAUCAAGUUUAGAUCUACGCAAGUAUUUAUAAAAAGACUCCGUUCCUUGUAUUCAGUAUUAUUGGUUUUGUACAAUUCCAGAACAGAACUAAAAGGCUCUUCUCUCUCUUUAUUCGUUUUUCUCUCAUAAUUAUAUAGCCUUUCACUCUUAUGCACUAUAUAUAUAUAUGAUCAAUUUCAGUUUACAUCCCUGAGGUUUAGGGUUAACAUUAUUUCACUCCUCAUAUUUAUAAUUUAAAAAAUUUACCACCUGAAAUUUUCAAUUUUUAUAAAUCAUGCCCAAUUGUUGAAAUUCUGUUUAAUUCAGACGUUAAUUUUGACUUCAUAACUCAUUAAAAAGGCUAAUAUAGUCUUAUAAUAACAUAAAUCUCCUCUUAGAAUUUUUUUUCUACUAUCUCAUGCUAUCAUUUAAUCACUUAACCUUCAAAUUGGACGAAAUUUUAGGAAUUAUGUAUGAUUUAUGAAAAUUGAAGACUUUAAGGGGUAAAUUUUUAAAAUUAAAAAUAUGGAGAGUGAAACGAUGUUAACCCUAAACCUCGGAGAGUAAAUUGAAAUUAAUCCUAAUAUAUACUCCACAUAAUUACAUAUUUCAGAAAAUUUUAUAUGAAAGUGAAAUGUGUAUUUUAAUCUAAUAAUGGGUUCAUUAUUAGAAGAUAAUCAACAGAAACAAUAAGAAUAAUACAGUCAUGAGUCAUUUCAGUGUCUAUUUCAGUGUCUAUGUUUUAUUCAAUGCACCUGCAAAUUAAGGGUCUACAUCUAGCAAACAAGUGGCAAAUAAAUUAAGACUAUGAGAGCUUGUAGUCAAAAAAAGGAUUAUGAUCCUCUCUUUGGCUGGCAGUUGUCUUUGGUUAUCCUUAACUUUGAAUCUCAUUCGUCCAUUUAAAAUCCUAAGGUUUAAAACCAUGACAGCUCAGCAAGUUCCCACUAAAACUCAUUAAAUGAGACAUUUUAAUUACAAACGUCGUUUCUAUGUCGACGGAGACGUUAAAAUGAUUGAGUUCUCUUUCUCUUCCUUUACUUCUCCGCCUUCAGCCGUCUUCUAGUUCUUACUCACCUUCUUGUCAUCUCUUCCUUUGUUCCUGGGGGAUAUUUAUUUUCAAAUCAGGAUUCGCACUAAAGCUCAAAUCGGAAAAGACCCACCAAGAAUUGUAAUCCAAUUUGGGAUGCAGUUGAAAGGUUUUGUUGAUAACCGUAGGUGUAAACCAGAAAUAACAAGAACAGCAGCUGAAAAGCCCGACCAAGAUUUGUUGAUUCAUUCCUUUCGAUUGGGUUUUAAAUUUGGUUUUUUUUUUUAUUUCGAAUGGGCGGCGCUGAAAGUGGCGACCUGGGUCGCGGCUUCUCUGUUUUCAACCCGGUCGGAUGAACUGUUGCCGACGAGGUCGUUGGAAGUGGGUUUGUGGUUGAUUCGGACUUGGAGUUGGUUUCGCUGAAGCUUUUGAUGACAACUUUGCUUCGGGAGCGGCGGCGGGCCGGCCACCAGAGACGGGAGCAGAGGCGGAGCAGGCGGGGAAAAUGGCUUUGGGUCAGAAAUUUGUUUUGGGUUGUGGGUUUGUUGGAGAAGGAGAAAAAAGAUGGAGUCUUUGAAAAUGAAGAAGACUCUGAGGAGUUGGGUUUGGCAUGAAUUUGUUGAAGGAAAUUGCAGGUGCUGGGUUUCUUGCACUCAGAUGAAUGUUGGGGGAGACGUUAAACUGUUGAAGGAGAGAUGAAAUAGAUAGAGAUGUAACAGCGUUAAGCAUUGAUAUAUGUGGAGUAUUAAAAGUACUGUAUUUAUUAUAGAGUUUGCUGAUGUGGGGUUUUAUUAGCCUUUAGAUUUUUCAUCAACGGUUGAUAAUAAAAGCUAAGGAUAAACAAAGGCACCUACCAACCAAUGAGAGGAUCCUAAUCCAAAAUAGAAAGAAAAGAAAUUAAGACAAUGAGAGACGUAACAAAUUAAACUUCAAACAUACAAUUUUGUGGAUCAAAACUGAUGACUAUCAGUGACCAGUCCAUCAAUAGAGAGAGAGAGAGUUGAUUAGAUGGUCAUUGACGGUGAUAACCAGCAAAACUGGAUCCACAAAAUUGUCAAUAGGUUAUAGCGCUAUGUUCAUUAAUAUAUAGAUAUGUAAAGAAAGAAUCAAAGAAACAACACUGGAACAAUUUAGACAUCAGGAGUAGGGAGCAAAGGGGACUCAAACCAGAGCCAAACAAUUUAGACUCCAUUUCGCUCUAAAGUUUAAUGGAGCAAAUUAGGAAAGGCAAGAGGUUGAUACUCUUCCCAUUACCCCUUCAAGGCCGUAUAAACCCUAUGCUUGAGCUAGCUAAUGUUCUACACUUCAGAGGCUUCUCCAUAACCAUCCUCCACACCAACUUCAACUCUCUCAACCCUUCAAACCAUCCUCACUUUACCUUCCACUCGAUCCCUGAUGGCCUAUCCGAAACUGAGACCUCCACAAAAAGUCACAUGCUCCUUGUUUCUUGUCUAAACGCAAACUGUCAUGAUCCUUUCCGAAACUGCCUAGCUAACUUGUUAUCCGAUGAUGGUUCAGAGGAGCCUAUUGCUUGCUUAAUCACUGACCCUCUCUUUGACUUCACUCGAUCUGUCGCUAAGAGCCUUAAGCUUCCAAGGAUGCUGCUAAGAACAGGAAGUGCCACAUCGACUACUGUUUUUGCCGCAUUUCCACUUCUAUGGGAAAAGGGUUACCUCCCCAAACAAGGUAAGUUCUUCUGAAAACACCUAGUUGCCUGGUGGCUAAGAUUUAUAAGCCUAGGUGUUUACUGCUUGAUGGGUCAUGUAUUUUUCAAUUAUCCUCAUACUUAGACAUCUAUGGUUUCACUGCUUUGUUAGAAUCUCAACUAGAAGAGCCAGUAGUAGAGUUGCCACCACUCAAAGUCAAGGACCUUCCAAUGAAUUCUGGUGACCCAAAGAUAUUUUAUCAACUAGUAACUGAACUGGCAAAUGAGGUCAAGACUUCAGAUGGAGUUAUUUUCAAUACUUCUGAAGAUCUUGAAGAACAAGAAUCCGACAAGACUUUCCCAUCCCAAUUUUCCCAAUAGGUCCAUUUCACAAAUGGUUCCCAACCUCCUAUUCAAGUAGCUUAUUAUCAGAGGAUGAAAGUUGCAUUUCGUGGCUAAAUACUCAAGCACCAAAGUCUGUUGUCUAUGUUAGCUUUGGGAGCACUGCUGCAGUAAAUGAAGCUCAAUUUUUGGAAAUAGCUUGGGGAUUAGCCAACACCAAUCAGCCUUUCUUGUGGGUGGUUCGACCUGGAUUACUCCAACGCUCUGAAUGGCUAGAAAAAUUACCUCAAGGGUACCUGGAGGCUUUAGAUGGGAAGGGUCACAUUGUGAAAUGGGCACCACAGAAAAAGGUGCUGGCUCAUCCAGCUGUGGGACUAUUCUGGACUCACAAUGGGUGGAAUUCAACAUUGGAGAGUAUUUCUGAGGGGGUGCCUAUGGUCUGUAUGCCAAUUUUUGCCGAUCAAAUGUUAAAUGCAAGAUAUGUCAGUGAUGUUUGGAGAGUAGGGUUGCAGUUAGAGAAUGGGAUCAAGAGAGACGAAAUUGAAAAAACAAUUCGAAAACUGAUGACAGAGAAAGAAGGGGAAGAGAUCAAAGACAAAAUGUCAAAGCUUAAGGAGAAGACAAAUCUUUCACUCAGAGAAGGUGGCUCUUCAUACCAAUCCUUGGAUGGCUUGGUUAACCAUAUUCUAUCAUUAUAGUCACUGGACGUUGAUCAAAAUGUAUCAUAUUUUCAUCACUAUCAAGUCACUGAUUGAUCAAAAUGUGUCUGUACUCUGUAGCAUAUCAUCUAUAGGCCAAACAGACAAAUCAGUACAUCAGACUGAGUUUAGAUCACGCAAGUAUUUAUAUGUAGUUCUAUCAAGUUUAGAUCUACGCAAGUAUUUAUAAGAAGACUCCGUUCCUUGUAUUCAGUAUUAUUGGUUUUGUACAAUUCCAGAACAGAACUAGAAGGCUCUUCUCUCAUAAUUAUACAGGCUUUCACUCUUAUGCACUACUUAUAAUAUAUAGGAUUAAUUUCAGUUUACACCCCUGAGGUUUAGGGUUAACAUCAUUUCACUUCUCAUACUUAUAAUUUUGAAAAUUUACACCCUAAAGUUUUCAAUUUUCAUAAAUCAUGUCCAAUUGCUGAAAUUUUGUCUAAUUCAGACUUUAAUUUUGACUUCAUAACUCACUAAAAAGGCUAAAAUAGUCUUAUAACAACAUAAAUCGCUUUUUAGGACUUUUUUCCUACGAUUUCAUGCUAUCAUUUAACCUCCAAAUUGGACGAAAUUUUAGCAAUUGUGUUUUGACUUUAUGUAAAAAUUGGAGACUUUAAGGGGUAAAUUUUUAAAAUUAAAAGUAUGAGGAGUGAAACGAUGUUUAACCCUAAAUUUUGAAAAUUUACACCCUAAAGUUUUCAAUUUUCAUAAAUCAUGCCCAAUUGCUGAAUUUCUGUCUAAUUCAGACGUUAAUUUUGAUUUCAUAACUCACUAAAAAGGCUAAAAUAGUCUUAUAACAACAUAAAUCGCUUUUUAUUAUUUUUUUCCUACGAUCUCAUGCUAUCAUUUAACUUCCAAAUUGGACGAAAUUUUAGCAAUUGUGUCUGAUUUAUGAAAAUUGGAGACUUUAGGGGUAAAUUUUUACAAUUAAAAAUACGGGGAGUGAAACGAUGUUAACUUUAAACCUCAGGGGGUAAAUUGAAAUUAAUCCUAAUAUAUACUCCACAUAAUUACAUAUUUCAGAAAAUUUUAUAUGAAAGUGAAAUGUGUAUUUUAAUCUAAAAUGGGUUCAUUAUUAGAAGAUAAUCAACAGAAACAGUAAGAAUAAUACAGUCAUGAGUCAUUUCAGUGUCUAUGUUUUAUUCAAUGCACCUGCAAAUUAAGGGUCUACAUCUAGCAAACAAGUGGCAAAUAAAUUAAGACUAUGAGAGCUUGUAGUCAAAAAAAGAAAUAAAAGAAAUUAAGACUACGAGAGACGUGACAAAUUAAAGUUCAAACAUACAAUGUUGUCAAUAGGUUAUAGUGCUAUGUUCAUUAAUAUAUAGAUAUGUAAAGAAAGAAACAACACUGGAACAAUAUAUUUAGACUCCAGGAGUAGGGAGCAAAGGGGACUCAAACCAGAGCCAAGCAAGUUAGACUCCAUUCGCUCUAAAUUUUAAUGGAGCAAAUUAGGAAAGGCCAGAGGUUAAUACUCUUCCCGUUACCCUUUCAAGGCCAUAUAAACCCUAUGCUUGAGCUAGCUAAUGUUCUACACUUCAGAGGCUUCUCCAUAACCAUCCUCCACACCAACUUCAACUCUCUCAACCCUUCAAACCAUCCUCACUUCACCUUCCACUCGAUCCCUGAUGGCCUAUCCGAAACUGAGACCUCCACAAAAAGUCCCAUGCUCCUUGUUUCUUGUCUAAACAGACGCUGUCAUGAUCCUUUCCGAAACUGUCUAGCUAACUUGUUAUCCGAUGACGGUUCAGAGGAGCCUAUUGCUUGCUUAAUCACUGACCCUCUCUUUAACUUCACUCAAUCUGUCGCUAAGAGUUUUAAGCUUCCAAGGAUGCUGCUAAGAACAGGAAGUGUCACAUCGACUAUUGUUUAUGCCGCAUUUCCACUUCUAUGGGAAAAGGGUUACCUCCCGAAACAAGGUAAGUUCUUCUGAAAACACCUAGUUGCCUAAUGGCUAAGAUUUAUAAGCCUAGGUGUUUACUGCUUGAUGGGUCAUGUGUUUUUCAAUUAUCCUCAUACUUAGACAUCUAUGGUUUCACUGCUUUGUUAGAAUCUCAACUAGAAGAGCCAGUAGUAGAGUUGCCACCACUCAAAGUCAAGGACCUUCCAACGAACUCUUGUGACCCAAAGAUAUUUUUGCAACUAAUAACUGAAUGGGGAAAUGUAAUCAAGACUUCAGAUGGAGUAAUUUUCAAUACUUCUGAAGAUCUUGAAGAACAAGCACUGCUUACAAUCCGACCAGACUUUCCCAU